rnacentral:rRNA from 1 species
UACGAAGGGGGCUAGCGUUGCUCGGAAUUACUGGGCGUAAAGCGCACGUAGGCGGCUUUCUAAGUCGGGGGUGAAAUCCUGGAGCUCAACUCCAGAACUGCCUUCGAUACUGGAAAGCUCGAGUCCGGGAGAGGUGAGUGGAACUGCGAGUGAAGAGGUGAAAUUCGUAGAUAUUCGCAAGAACACCAGUGGCGAAGGCGGCUCACUGGCCCGGUACUGACGCUGAGGUGCGAAAGCGUGGGGAGCAAACAGG